GAGGAGGAGGAGCAGGUGUGGAGGGCCAAGGUGGGCGCCGCAGAGGAGGAGCUCCAGAAGUCCCGGGUCACAGUGAAGCAUCUCGAAGAGAUUGUAGAGAAGCUAAAAGGAGAACUUGAAAGUUCGGACCAGGUGAGGGAGCACACGUCGCAUUUGGAGGCAGAGCUGGAAAAGCACAUGGCGGCCGCCAGCGCCGAGUGCCAGAACUACGCCAAGGAGGUGGCAGG
rnacentral:misc_RNA from 1 species